rnacentral:rRNA from 1 species
UACGUAGGGGGCAAGCGUUGUCCGGAAUCAUUGGGCGUAAAGGGCGCGUAGGCGGCCCGCUAAGUCGAACGUGAAAUCCCCGAGCUCAACUCGGGAACUGCGUCCGAUACUGGCGGGCUUGAAUCCGGGAGAGGGAUGCGGAAUUCCAGGUGUAGCGGUGAAAUGCGUAGAUAUCUGGAGGAACACCGGUGGCGAAGGCGGCAUCCUGGACCGGCAUUGACGCUGAGGCGCGAAAGCUAGGGGAGCAAACGGGG